rnacentral:lncRNA from 1 species
AGAGAGAGAGAAUUGCAUUUUCUAAACCCCAAUUCCCAAUCUCAAUUUCAAUUUCAAGUUCCUGCAACAAUGGUGUUGCGCAAUCCAAUGAAAAUGGCGAUGCUCCUCAUCACCGCAAAUAACCCUAGCUAUGGCGGAAGAAAAUCCGCACCCCAAAUCAGCGCAGCUGGUGACGUUUUACGACAUCCUAAGCUCCCACGGCCUCCCCAUCGGCAUAUUCCCCAAAAGCAUCUCCGGUUUCUCCGUCG